ACUGGGUGUGGUGGUAUGUGCCUGUAAUCCCAGCUGCUUGGGAGGCUGAGGCAGGAGAAUUUCUUGAGUCCAGGAGUUCUGAGCUGUAGUGAGCUAUGUGGCUGAGCUGUCUGCACAAUUUAGCAUUAACACAGUGAUUUCCCAGCAGUGGGGGAUCAGUAGGCUGCCUAAGGAGGGAUGAGCUGUCUGAGGAUGAAAAUGGAGUAAAUCAAAACUCCUGUGCUGAUCAGUAGUGAGAUCAUGCAUGUGAGUACCACUACUGCACUCCAGCCUGGGCAACAGAGAGAGACUCCAUCUCCU
ensembl:misc_RNA Metazoa_SRP Metazoan signal recognition particle RNA